CAUCCCAUCAAAGUACAGAUCGAUGGACAAGGGGCAUCAGGUAUUGCGUCAGAUAUUGGUGGUGGUGAAAGGUAAAGACACUCACGAAAGGACUUCUAGAACUCAUUCGGAAGACGUAAAGAAUGGUGGCAUAAAUGGGUUUGAAGAAAGAGGGACUUGGGGGACCAAUGGCCGUGUGUGUCCUACUGUAGC
rnacentral:lncRNA from 1 species